CGGACGUUCACGCGACCUCCGUCUCGCCACGUUUCAACGUGAUAAAACUCAGUGUUCGUGAAUUCUUUCAAAACAAAAUAAAACAACCGAAAAAACGUUCAUUUCAGAUCGCCAGAGAAAAUAUUGAAUCAUCCGCUGCACGUUUCAAAAUAAUAGCUUUACAGAGAUCAUAUUAAGUGCUGCACAUCGGAGUUUUCCGAACUUUUAGACGC